CCACCCAGGCACCCCCCAUUUGUAUAUUUUUAAUAUGAAUGUGUAUGUACACUUGGCCACUGAUUCUCAGCUGAGGAUGUUAUAUUUGGAUCAAGACCUAUCUCUUCUCUUCCUUCUACAAAAUAGAAUUUUCAGCUAUGGCUAAGGGAGAGACUGGCAUAGCUUCUCCCCAGAAAGGAUCUAUAAAGCUGGACAAAAAUUGAUUAUUCCACUGCUCUGGAAAUCAAAGAAAGAUAUACAACAAUAUGAGUGGCACUUAUGCGCUUGAAAAACUGCUGCACAGUGGGAGUUUAUGCAGUUCUUUCCUCAGGCUACUCCCAUUCCCCUGCCAGCUUAGUUGACCUGGAGGUUUGGUCAGAGCAGCAGGUUUGGCAGGACAGAACUAUGAGGAUCCCAGCUGUCAAAGAGGACUCACUAGAUUUGAAACAGUGGAUGAAUCCUGAGCGCAGUAAAGUUGUCAGUGGAAGUGACAAUCUCAGCAAAGAGUGAGUGGGGUGAGCUAAUGGCCCCAUAAGCCUGGAAUUGUGUGGUUGAACCAAGCACAUUCUUGGAUGAGACUAUGCACAUGUACCCAGAGACGUGGAGAAGGUCUGGGUGAUCCACAUCUUCCUGGCUGAACUUGACACUGCUCACAGGAUUCUCAGCAGACAAAACUAAUUGAAUAGCAUCAAAAUUAAAAGGCAUCAAACUUCAAAACAUACCGUUAGGACAGUCAAGCCAUGCACUUAACAACUGAGUGUCAAACUAUGUGAGGCAAAAACUAAGUGCAUUCAUCUAUUUCUCCUUGAAGUCCUAUGAUAGUAGAAAACUUCGACUUGCCACUAUCAGAAAUGGACAGAUUUAGCAGGCAGAAAAUCAGUAAGGUUAAGGUUGAACUCAACCCCAUCAGUCAGCUGGAUAUAAUUGACAUCUAUAGACUGUUUCACCCAACAACAGCAGAACACACAUGCUUCUCAGGCUCACAUGGAACAUUCACCAAAACAAACCAUACCCUGGGUCAUAAAAUACAUCUUAACGAUUUUAAGAGACCAGAAAUCAUGCAAUGCUCUCUGGCCACUAAGGAAUUAUACUAUAAAUCAAUAACAAGAAAAUCCCAAAAUACAUGGAGAUUAAACACCACACUUCUCAAAAACAUAUCAGCCAAAGAAGAAAUGUCAAGAGAAAUCUAAAAAUAUUUUGAGCUAACUGAAAAUGAAAACACAACUUAUCAAAAUUUGUGAGAUGCAUUGAAAGCAGUGCUUAGAAGGAAAUUUAUAUCAUUGAAUGUAUAUAUUAGAAAAAAAUACCAAAUUUCGAUUAAGGGUCUACCUUAGGAAAUAGAAAAAGAAGAGCAAGUUAAAUCCCACAUAAGCAGAAGAACAAAAGAAAUAAUAAGAUUUAGAUCAGAAAUCAGUAUAAUUAAAAAAAUCAAUACAGAUUUUAUACAGAUCAUCACAGAAAAUCAAUGAAACCAAAAGCUGAUUCUUUGAAAACAUCAAUAAAAUCAGUAUAAGUCAGGCUACUCACAGAGAGAAAAAGAGGGAGAUUACUAAUAUUGGAAAAGAAAGAACAUCACUACAGAUCCCAUGGAAAUGAAUAAUAAAGGAAAACUAUGAAAAACUCUUGUCCACAAAUCUGAUAACCUAGAUGAAAUGGACCGAUUCCAUGAAAGAUAUAAUUUGCCAAAGCAAAUUGCGAAACUUUGACUAUUAAAGAAAUUGAAUUAAUAAUUGAUAACCUUCCAAAACAGAAAGCACCAGGUUUACAUGGAUUCACUGGUGAAUUCUACAAAACAUUUAAGAAAUAAAUCCUAUCAGUUCUCUACAAUCUUUUUUGGAGAUCAGAUGCAGAUACUUCCUACUCAUUCUAUGAGGCCAGCAUUCCCCUAAUGCCAAAUCCAGACAAAAACAUUACAAGAAAACUACAGACCAUUAUCUGUCAUGAAUACAGAUGCUAAAAUUCUCAAAAAACAUAUUAGCAAAUCAAAUCCAACAAUGUAUAAAAAGAAUUAUGCACCAUAACUAAGUGGGACUUAUUCCAAGUAUGCAGCAUUAGCCUGGUUCCAAUUUGAAAAUCAAUUAAUAUAAGCCAUCACAUCAACCAGCUAAAAAAGGGGGGUGCCUGGGUGGCUCAGUCAGUUAAGUGUCUGGCCUUUUUUUACUAUUAGAGAAUGUGCAAGCAGGGGUUAGGGGCAGAGAGAGAGAGAGAAUCUUAAGCAGGUUCCAUCCUCAGCAUGAACCCUUACAUGGGGCUCGAUCCCAUGACCCUGGGAUCAUGACCUGAGUCGAAAUCAGGAGUAGGAUACUCAACUGACUGAGCCACCCAGGUGCCCCAACCAUCUGACUCUUGAUCUCAGCUCAGGUCUUGAUCUCAGUGUCAUGAGUUCAAGUCCCACAUUAGGCUCCACUCUAGGUGUGAAGCCUGCUUUAAAAUAAGACAAAGGCAACAAAAUUCUUAAAUAAUAUCAGUAGAUGCAAAAAUACAACUUGACAAAAUCUGACACUCAUUCAUGAUAAAAUCUACCAAUAAAUAGGAAUAGAGGAGAACACCAUCAACUUGGUAAAGACAAUCUAUAAAAAACCUAUUGGGGCACCUAGAUGGCUCAAUUAAGCAUCCAGCUCUUAAUUUUGGCUCACGUCAUGACUCAUCAUUUGUGAGAUCAAGUCCCAUAUCAGGCUCCAUGCUUGCAGCACAAAGUCUGCUUGGGAUUCUCUCUCUCCAUCUCUCAAAAUAAAUACAUAAAAAUUUUUAAAAACUUAAAAAAAAAAACCCAAAACCUACAAUUAACAUCAUACCCAAUGGUGAGAAACUCAGAGGUUUACCACUAAGAUCAGUUGCAAGGCAAGGAUGUCCCCCCCACUUACCACUCCUUUUCAAAAUCAUACUAGAAGUUCCAGCUCAUGCAAUAAAACAAAAAGAAAUAAAAAUAUACAGUUUGAGAAGAAAGGCAUGAAACUGUCUUUGUUAGCAGAUGACAUAAUUAAUUGUAUGUAGAAAGUAAAAAAAAAAAAAAAAAAACAACCAAAAAACCUCCUGAAACUAAUAAGUAUAGAAAUGUUGCAGGAUAUAAGGAUAGUAUACACAAGCCAAUCAUUUUCAUAUAUACCAGCAAUGAAUGAGUGGAACUUAAAACCACAAUUUUAUUUACAUUAGCAUCCCCGAAAAUGAAAUACUUACAUAUAAAUCUAACAAUAUAUAUACAAGAUCUCUAUGAGGAAAGGUAUAAAAUUCUGAGACAUAAAAUCAAGGAACUAAAUAAAUGUAGAGAUAUUCCAUGUUCGUGGAUAGGAAGAGUCAAUAUUGUCAGAAUAAUCAGUUCUUCCCAAUUUGAUCUAUAGAUUCAAUGCAAUCCUAAUUAAAAUCCCAACAGAUUGUUUGUGUAUAUCAAUAAACUGAUUCUAGAGUUUAUAUGGAGAGGCAAAAGACCCAGAAUAGCCAACACAAUAUUGUAGGAGAACAAAGUUGGAAGAUUAACACUACCCAGUCUGAAGACUUACUUAAGGUAAGUGAUAAGUCACAAGCUUACAUAUAGUAAGCUGUAAAUAAGACUUAGCUACAAUAAUCAAGACAGUGUGGUAUUGGCAAAAGAAUAAGCCUACAGAUCAAUGGAACAGAACACGGAGUGCAGAGGUAGAAGCACAUAAAUAUAGUCAAUUGAUUUUGACAAAGGAGCAGAAGUUAUACAAUGGAGCAAAGAUAAAAAGGGUGCUGGAAGAGUACCUGGAUGGGUCAGUCGGUUAAGCAUCUAACUCUUGGUUUCGGCUCAGGACGUGAUCUCACAGUUUUGUGAGUUCGAGCCCUGUGUCAGGCUCUGUGCUGACAGUGCAGAGUCUGCUUGGGAUUCUCUCUCCCUCUCUCUCUCUCUGCUCCUCCCCCACUUGCACUGUCCCUGUUUCUCUCAAAAUAAACUUUAAGAAGGUGCUGGAACAACCAGACAUCCACAUGUAAAGAAAAAAAGAAAAGGUAGACACAGAUGUGACACCUUUUACAAAAAUUACCUCAAUGCCUCGUAAACCUAAAUGUAAAAUGCAAAACUAUAAAUCUAGAAUAUAACAGAAAACCUAGAAGAUAACAUCUAAGUUGUUGUGACAUCAUAGUUACUACAUCAUAGCAGCUACAGAAUAGCCACUUACCACAUGGUAACCACAUCAUAGUUACAACAUCAAAGAAGAAGUUACAACAUGAAAGAAGGAAUUGAUUAGCUGGACUUAAUUAAAUUUAAAUUUUCUGUCCUGCAAAAGAUAAUGUCAAGAAAAUGAGAAGAUAAGCCACAGAUUGGUGGAAAAUAUUUGCAAAAGACACAAGUGAUAAAGGACUGUCGUCCAAAAUACGUCCUGUCUGAAGUUUGACACUGCACAGGUUUUAUUAGAAAGCCACCUGGACCCAUCAGACUCAAGCAGGAUGCCCAGUGGAAAGAAGGUGUCCAGUCCAACAAAGGAAAGGUUUGGCAUUCAUGUGCUUUCUGUUCUGAAGAUGAGAAUCACUUCUGCUUGAUUUUCAUUCUUGGAAGAAAAAAAUAACGAGCUGUUGUCCUCGGAUUUGAUGACAUGAUGUGAAA